AGAGUUUGAUCAUGGCUCAGGAUGAACGCUGGCGGCGUGCCUAAUACAUGCAAGUCGAACGAGACCCUUUGUAUUCGUACGAAGGUGUUCUAGUGGCGAACGGGUGAGUAACACGUUGGUGACCUGCCCCGAAGAGGGGGAUAACCCUUGGAAACGAGGGCUAAUACCCCAUGUGUUCCAGAGUGUUAGAGGACUCUGGAGGAAAUGGAGCAAUCCGCUUCGGGAGGGGCCUGCGGCCCAUCAGCUAGUUGGUAAGGUAACGGCCUACCAAGGCAACGACGGGUAGGGGGCCUGAGAGGGUGGUCCCCCACACUGGAACUGAAACACGGUCCAGACACCUACGGGUGGCAGCAGUAGGGAAUAUUGCCCAAUGGACGAAAGUCUGAGGCAGCAACGCCGCGUGCGCGAUGAAGGCCUUCGGGUUGUAAAGCGCUUUUCUGGGGGAAGAGUAAGGACGGUACCCCAGGAAUAAGUCUCGGCUAACUACGUGCCAGCAGCCGCGGUAAAACGUAGGAGGCGAGCGUUAUCCGGAUUUACUGGGCGUAAAGCGCGUGCAGGCGGUUUGGUAAGUCGGACGUGAAAGCUCCUGGCUCAACUGGGAGAGGCCGUUCGAAACUACCAGACUUGAGGGCAGUAGAGGGAGGUGGAAUUCCAGGUGUAGCGGUGAAAUGCGUAGAUAUCUGGAGGAACACCGGUGGCGAAGGCGGCCUCCUGGACUGUCCCUGACGCUCAGACGCGAAAGCUAGGGUAGCGAACGGGAUUAGACACCCCGGUAGUCCUAGCUGUAAACGAUGCAGACUUGGUGUUGGUGGUUUAAUAACCAUCAGUGCCGAAGCUAACGCGAUAAGUCUGCCGCCUGGGGACUACGACCGCAAGGUUAAAACUCAAAGGAAUUGACGG
rnacentral:rRNA from 1 species